rnacentral:rRNA from 1 species
CCUACGGGAGGCAGCAGUAAGGAAUAUUGGUCAAUGGACGCAAGUCUGAACCAGCCAUGCCGCGUGAAGGAUUAAGGUCCUCUGGAUUGUAAACUUCUUUUAUUUGGGACGAAAAAGGGCCUUUCUAGGUCAACUGACGGUACCAGAUGAAUAAGCACCGGCUAACUCCGUGCCAGCAGCCGCGGUAAUACGGAGGGUGCAAGCGUUAUCCGGAUUCACUGGGUUUAAAGGGUGCGUAGGCGGGUAGGUAAGUCAGUGGUGAAAUCCUGGAGCUCAACUCCAGAACUGCCAUUGAUACUAUUUAUCUUGAAUAUUGUGGAGGUAAGCGGAAUAUGUCAUGUAGCGGUGAAAUGCUUAGAUAUGACAUAGAACACCUAUUGCGAAGGCAGCUUACUACGCAUAUAUUGACGCUGAGGCACGAAAGCGUGGGGAUCAAACAGGAUUAGAUACCCUGGUAGUCCACGCCCUAAACUAUGAUUACUCGACAUUUGUGUAUACACAAUAAGUAGUCUGAGACGAAGACAUUAAGUAAUACCACCUACGGAAGGUACGUCCGCCGAGAGAGAACGUACGAAAGGAAAGUUAGUACGGACGUAGAGACGUUAGCCGACGGACGACGACGAGGGAGGAGG